rnacentral:tRNA from 1 species
GCCUGGGUGGCUCAGUUGGUUAAGUGUCUGACUUACACUCAGGUCAUGAUCUCAUGGCUCGUGGGUUCAAGCCCAGCGUCAGGCU